rnacentral:snoRNA from 1 species
GAUCCUGAUGAUGAUAAUAAGACAUUGUUAACCUGAUCCCCACGUGGGGUUGAGGACAAGUCCUGCAAUUCUGAAAGGGUU